rnacentral:tRNA from 1 species
GGGGCUGUAGCUCAGUGGCAGAGCACUUGCCUGGCAUGUGUGAGGCACUGAGUUCGAUCCUUAGCACCA